rnacentral:rRNA from 1 species
GACGAACGCUGGCGGCGUGCUUAACACAUGCAAGUCGAACGGAAAGGCCCUGCUUUUGUGGGGUGCUCGAGUGGCGAACGGGUGAGUAACACGUGAGUAGCCUGCCCUUGACUUUGGGAUAACUUCAGGAAACUGGGGCUAAUACCGGAUAGGAUCUCCUGCUGCAUGGUGGGGGUUGGAAAGUUUCGGCGGUUGGGGAUGGACUCGCGGCUUAUCAGCUUGUUGGUGGGGUAGUGGCUUACCAAGGCUUUGACGGGUAGCCGGCCUGGGAGGGUGACCGGCCACAUGGGGACUGUGAGACGGCCCAGACUCCUACGGGAGGCAGCAGUGGGGAAUAUUGCACAAUGGGCGGAAGCCUGAUGCAGCAACGCCGCGUUCGGGAUGACGGCCUUCGGGUUGUAAACCGCUUUCGCCUGUGACGAAGCGUGAGUGACGGUAAUGGGUAAAGAAGCACCGGCUAACUACGUG